rnacentral:rRNA from 1 species
UACGGAGGGUGCAAGCGUUAUCCGGAUUUACUGGGUUUAAAGGGUGUGUAGGCGGACAGGUAAGUCCGUGGUGAAAUCCCCGAGCUUAACUCGGGAACUGCCAUGGAUACUAUUUGUCUUGAAUAUCUUGGAGGUGAGCGGAAUACGUCAUGUAGCGGUGAAAUGCUUAGAUAUGACGUAGAACACCAAUUGCGAAGGCAGCUCACUACAUGAUCAUUGACGCUGAUGCACGAAAGCGUGGGGAGCGAACAGG